UACAGAGGUGGCAAGCGUUGUUCGGAAUUACUGGGCGUAAAGCGCGCGUAGGCGGUUACUCAAGUCGGAUGUGAAAGCCCUCGGCUUAACUGAGGAAGUGCACCCGAAACUGAGUAGCUAGAGUACUAAAGAGGGUCGCGGAAUUCCCGGUGUAGAGGUGAAAUUCGUAGAUAUCGGGAGGAACACCGGUGGCGAAGGCGGCGACCUGGGUAGAUACUGACGCUGAGGCGCGAAAGCGUGGGGAGCAAACAGG
rnacentral:rRNA from 1 species